CUCAGCUAUAGGCAUCUGCCUAGGUUGCAUUGUAUCUAGGCAAGUGUUGCAUUGCUGGGAGAAAAGCAGUUAACAGCUGGUGGGCAGUCUGGGCCUGGUUAAUGCCAAAUUUGUGUUAACUACCAGUGUGCCAGCACAGU
rnacentral:snoRNA from 1 species